AGCAAUAUAUUAUCUAACUAUCGUAGAUGAUUAUUCGAGAGUAGUAUGGAUAUAUUUAUUACUUGAAAAACAUGAAGUCUUCGAAUGUUUGCAGAAAUUUUGUGCCAUGGUUACACGUCAGUUUGAUAAGAAAGAAUGAUCGGUCCGUUCUAAUAAUGGUACUGAAUUCACAUGUAUGAGAAGAUAUUUUGAAGAAGAGGGUACUGUAUCAGACCUCCUAUGUGUACACUUCGCAACAGAACGGAUGUGUGGACCGCAAGCAUAGACACAUUCUUAAUGUAGCUCGGUCUUUGAUGUUUCAAGCGUCGUUGCCAGUAAGAUUUUGGGGAGAAUACGUUCUAGCAGCAUGCUACCUUAUAAACCGAAUACCUACACCAUUGUUACAAGGUAAUACUCCAUAUGAAUUGUUGUAUGGGAAGCAGCCUUUGUUUGAUAGAAUGAAAGUUUUUUGAUGCUUGGGAUAUGCUCGCAAGAUUUCUCGGAAUAAAGAUAAAUUUGGAUAACGAAGUCGAAAAUGUAUUAUUAUGGAUACCCGUAUGGAAAAAAGGUUGGAUGAUGUAUGAUUUGGAGAAAAGUGAUUUCUUUGUCACAAGAGAUGUUCAAUUUCAUUAGAAGAUGUUCCCGUUUGCAACACCACAUGUCGAAAUGCGAGACGUAGUUGAUUCUUCUCGUGAUUUGGGUUUAUUUUAUGAUCAUGAUUUUCUGGAAUUACAAGAGAUGAUGGACGUGCGAGGGAGUUUAGACGAUAAUAUUGUAGUCACUCUGUCUCGCUCUGUGGAACAAGGAGAGCAGCAAUCUCAUGAAAUAAUAGAAGUAAGGGACACACUAGUAGAAAGUGAUGAGAUUUCUCCAUCUUCGACCCAAGACCAAAUUAAACAACCGUCCUAGAACAGCUUGGACGUGGCCAUAGAAAGAAGAUUAUGUCAUUAUGGUUACAGAACUGUGUGGUAUCGCAUCCACCGCAGAAAAGGGAACUAGAUCCGUCGCCCUCUUCCGAACCAGUCACGUCUUCAAACUCAGAAAGUGAACUAGAAUCGUAUAAUGAAGCAAUGAAACUUCAAGUGUGGCGAGAUGCAGUGUCCUUUUAGGUUGAUGCAUUAGAAGAACAACACACAUGGGAUAUUGAAGAUUUGCCACCAGGGAAAACUGCCAUUGGAUGUCGUUUGUUUUCAAGAUAAAGUAUAACUCGGGUGGUACGAUUGAGCGCCAUAAAGCUCGUUUGGUGGUCAUGAAUAAUUGACAAAAGGAGGGAAAAGAUUAUAACAAAACAUUUGCUCUACUAGUGAAAUUAACGACGGUUCAUAUAUUUCUCAAGGUAGCGACUAUGAAAAAUUGGAUUGUAAAUCAGAUGGAUGUUCACAACUCUUUCCUUCAUGGAGAUUUAGUAGAAGAAGUAUACAUGAAACUUCCACCGGGGUUCAAAGUUUCGGGUCCUAACAAACUUCCAUCUUUAUAUGGUUUGAUACAAGCACCGAGGUGUUGAUUCUCGAAGCUCAGAAAUGCUCUUCUCGAGUAUGGGUUUGCUUAGUCUUACGAGGACUAUUCUUUGUUUGCUUUGAUUCGUGGAAAAAUGUGUUUCUACGUGUAGUCUAUGUUAACGACUUGCUCAUUGGCGGGAAUGAUGAAGAAGAAAAUUUUGAUUCAAGGAGUAUUUGAAUCAAUGUAUUCAUAUGAAAAAUUUGGGGUCUCUCAAAUAUUUUUUGGGAAUUGAAGUGGCAAGAUCUUCCAAGGCUGUUGUUGGGAAAUCUGUUGAAACAGGCGAAGGCUGUGAAAUUUGUUAUCGAGCUAAACAAACUUGGGAUUCUUUUCUGAAAGUUAUAAUAAAGCGAAUGGUGUUUUUGAUUUAA